rnacentral:rRNA from 1 species
AUACAUGCAAGUCGAGCGCCUUCACAUUUCGUUUCUCCCCUUCAAUUUUGAUGCUCGUGUCCUGAGACAGGACAUCGGCUGGACCAUCAGGUUCAGACGAUAUCAAAAACGAAGGAUAAAUAGCUUGGUUGAUAAACCAAGUCAGAGUGAUAAUUUCCAUCGGAAAUUACUCACGCUGAGGAACGAAGCGUGAAGGAGCGGCGGACGGGUGAGUAACGCGUAGGAAUGUACCCCAAACUGAGGAAUAAGCCCGAGAAAUCGGGUCUAAUACCGCAUAUGGUCUAAGGAUUAAAGCUUCGGCGGUUUGGGAACAGCCUGCGUCCGAUUAGCUAGUUGGUAAGGUAAAGGCUUACCAAGGCGAUGAUCGGUAGCUGGUCUGAGAGGAUGAUCAGCCACACUGGAACUGAGACACGGUCCAGACUCCUACGGGAGGCAGCAGUAGGGAAUCUUCCACAAUGGACGAAAGUCUGAUGGAGCAACGCCGCGUGCAGGAUGAAGGCUUUCGGGUCGUAAACUGCUUUUAUUUGUGAAGAUGAUGACAGUAACAAAUGAAUAAGGAUCGGCUAAUUCCGUGCCAGCAGCCGCGGUCAUACGGAAGAUCCAAGCGUUAUCCGGAAUUACUGGGCGUAAAGAGUUGCGUAGGCGGUUUAGUAAGUGAAAAGUGAAAUUUUAAGGCUCAACCUUAAAACUGCUUUUCAAACUACUAAACUUGAGUAUGUGAGAGGUAAUUGGAAUUCCUAGUGUAGGAGUGGAAUCCGUAGAUAUUAGGAGGAACACCAAUGGCGAAGGCAGAUUACUGGCACAUUACUGACGCUAAGGCACGAAAGCGUGGGGAGCGAACUGGAUUAGAUACCCAGGUAGUCCACGCCGUAAACGAUGAAUGCUAGCUGUGGGAGGUAUCGACCCCUUCCGUAGCAAAGCUAACGCGUUAAGCAUUCCGCCUGGGAGUACGUCGCAGAUUAAACUCAAAGAUAGACGGGGACCCGCACAGCGUGAGCGUGUCUUAAUGGAGAUAGCCAAGAACCUUACAAGGCUGACAUCUGUUAAUCUC